rnacentral:rRNA from 1 species
GUGGGGAAUUUUGCGCAAUGGGGGAAACCCUGACGCAGCGACGCCGCGUGAAGGAUGAAGGCCUUCGGGUUGUAAACUUCUUUUAUAAGGGAAGAUAGUGACGGUACCUUAUGAAUAAGCCACGGCUAACUCUGUGCCAGCAGCCGCGGUAAGACAGAGGUGGCAAGCGUUGUUCGGAAUUACUGGGCUUAAAGGGCAUGUAGGCGGCAAGGCAAGUCCGUGGUGGAAUCUCAGGGCUUAACCCUGAAAUUGCCUCGGAAACUGCUUAGCUUGAGUCAGUGAGGGGAGGGCGGAAUUCCUGGUGUAGCAGUGAUAUGCGUAGAUAUCAGGAGGAAGGCCUGUGGUGAAGACGGCCCUCUGGCGCUGUACUGACGCUGAGGUGCGAAAGCGUGGGGAGCAAACAGGAUUAGAAACCCUGGUAGUCC